rnacentral:rRNA from 1 species
AUGGCGGCGGCCGCCUCCACUUCCUCCGCCGCCGCGCCCGCCUCGCCCUCCGGCGGUGGCCGCAGAGGCCCGGCGGCGGCGUUCGCGUGCGCCUGCCCCAUCUGCCUCGAGGGAUUCGAGGACGAGGCCUACCUCGACACCUGCCUGCAUUCAUUCUGUUACGAGUGCAUAACCCAGUGGGUGAGCAUUGUGGCGAGCAAGCAUGAAGACCCUUUGUCCUCUGUGAAAUGCCCCCUUUGCAAGACAAAGAGUGCAUCGGUCCUUCAUGCUUUCGAUGGCAAAUCAUUUACGCGGCAUUACAUAGAGCAGGACCAGGGGAAGAGAUAUCUUGCAGAUGCACACGAGUUGAUAUCACAAUUCUAUAACACAAGAGAGAUUUCAGAGGAUACAGCCAGUGUGCUUCAGUACUGGAAGCAGCGAAAGUAUCUCCGGAAGAACGUAUGGCUUGAAACUUGGUUGAGAUGGGAAAUUCAGGCCCUUACGCAGGACGAAAACGUCGAGGCCAUAGUCUACCACAUCCACGGCCUGAUCGAGUCCUUCAUGAAAACGCAAGAAAAACUGCACGCCUCAAAGCAGGCUUCCCCGGAACAUACAAGGGAAGAGUUCAGGAGUUUACUGUCGGACGCUGCUAGGCCGUUCCUCCUCGGGCGGACAGCGCGAUUCGUCACGGAGGUGGAGCUCUUCCUGAUCUCGCAACGGAACAUCGACGCGUACAGCAGGGUGCGCCUGCAGAGGUUCAAGGAGUCCGCCUCGCACGUAGCAAGAGAGCAGGACGCGCUGCCACAGGACCGCCCCCUCGAGGACCACUACUUGUACCUUUUGCGUGAAGAAACAGAUUUUGUUGGCGGUGUGAUAUAG